rnacentral:rRNA from 1 species
ACGCUCGACACCUACGGGGGGCAGCAGUGGGGAAUAUUGGGCAAUGGGCGCAAGCCUGACCCAGCAACGCCGCGUGAAGGAAGAAGGCCCUCGGGUUGUAAACUUCUUUUGUCAGGGACGAAGCAAGUGACGGUACCUGACGAAUAAGCCACGGCUAACUACGUGCCAGCAGCUGCGGUAAUCUGAGCGGGCUGGCAAGGC